rfam:Aspergillus niger DNA, contig: scaffold669_002, strain: An76, whole genome shotgun sequence.
GGCAAGAUGGCCGAGUUGGUCCAAGGCGUCAGGUUAAGGUCCACCUUAAUAACCCAGCUUCACAGCUUCCUGAUCAUCGUAAGAUGGCGUGGGUUCGAAUCCCACUCUUGUCA